ACGGAGUUUCCUCUAUUGAUUGAAGCGUGUUCCACGAACUCACUCGUCUUACGCUCCGAACAUUCCCGUGACUAGUUAUUUUCGUGAUCAGCCCCAUUUUACUGCCAAAGUCACAGACGCCCAGCUCUCCUUUCUCUCUCUCUGGGGAGCGUGAAAGGGGAGGGACCUCCUUACUCGCUGGGGGCAAGAGGACUUGCUGGGGCCGGAGGGGCUGCCUGGGGAGAAGGCAGUGAGAAGGCUUCCAGAAGGCAGGCAGAGUCUGGCUGCUUUGCCAUCAUCACCCCCCGCGGCGCAGAAAGUUAUUAAUCACACUCUUCAGGUCAUAAGAGAGAGUCACAACCGGCCCACGAAAGACCCUCUGAGGCUUUACCCCACCCCAUGUCCUGUCCCCACUCCCACCCCUGCCCCUCAAGGCACCCCUUUAAUACACUUGAUACAGAG
rnacentral:lncRNA from 1 species